rnacentral:rRNA from 1 species
UACGGAGGGGACUAGCGUUGUUCGGAAUUACUGGGCGUAAAGCGCACGUAGGCGGAUUUGUAAGUCAGGGGUGAAAUCCCGGGGCUCAACCUCGGAACUGCCUUUGAUACUGCAAAUCUCGAGUCCGGAAGAGGUGAGUGGAAUUCCUAGUGUAGAGGUGAAAUGCGCAGAUAUCAGGAGGAACACCUAUGGCGAAGGCAGCUCGCUGGGACGGUACUGACGCUGAGACGCGAAAGCGUGGGGAGCGAACAGG